rnacentral:rRNA from 1 species
CCUACGGGCGGCAGCAGUGGGGAAUAUUGGACAAUGGGCGAAAGCCUGAUCCAGCCAUGCCGCGUGUGUGAAGAAGGCCUUCGGGUUGUAAAGCACUUUCAGUGGGGAAGAAAGCCUUGGGGCUAAUACCCUCGAGGAAGGACAUCACCCACAGAAGAAGCACCGGCUAACUCCGUGCCAGCAGCCGCGGUAAUACGGAGGGUGCGAGCGUUAAUCGGAAUUACUGGGCGUAAAGCGCGCGUAGGCGGUCUGAUAAGCCGGUUGUGAAAGCCUCGGGCUCAACCUGGGAACGGCAUCCGGAACUGUCAGGCUAGAGUGCAGGAGAGGAAGGUAGAAUUCCCGGUGUAGCGGUGAAAUGCGUAGAGAUCGGGAGGAAUACCAGUGGCGAAGGCGGCCUUCUGGACUGACACUGACGCUGAGGUGCGAAAGCGUGGGUAGCAAACAGGAUUAGAUACCCUUGUAGUC